rnacentral:lncRNA from 1 species
CUGCAUACCAUUGCAUUUGCAUAAGUUUAUGGGGACUACAAACCAUCGCUUAGAGAGCAAAAUAAAUUUGGAGUUGAUAGUCAAAUGAAUAGAGAAUUUCUCCAUGGUUUUACUGUUUGCUGAAAAUAUGUUUCUAAAGUAGCAAUUGCAUGUAGAACAGUCCGCGUUGCAAAUCAGAGAUGUUUAUUCAAGAAUUAUGUACGAUUCUUUAUACAUGUUUAAACAUUUACAUGGUAUAAGCUAAAUUUUGUAAUUAUAACACUUGCAUAUAUAUGAAGUUCA